UACGUAGGGUGCGAGCGUUGUCCGGAAUUAUUGGGCGUAAAGAGCUCGUAGGCGGUUUGUUGCGUCGGCUGUGAAAACCUGAGGCUCAACCUCAGGCCUGCAGUCGAUACGAGCAGACUAGAGUGUUGAGGCAGGGGACGAGACUUCGGAAGUUCCUGGGUGUAGCGGGUGAAAAUGCGCAGAUAUCAGGAGGAACACCGGUGGCGAAGGCGGGUCUCUGGGCAACAACUGACGCUGAGGAGCGAAAGCGUGGGGAGCGAACAGG
rnacentral:rRNA from 1 species